UUGUAUUGGUCUGAUUUAGUUGAUCUAAAAUCAACGACAUUUAGGUUAUUUUUCGAUUCAGUGUGCAGCUUUUCUAGCGCAUGCAUUCGCCCUAAUGACAACCAGCCAAUGAGAACGCGGAACACUAAUGACGAGUCAUAGCGAUAUAAGCAUGCUAAAAAUGUUGUGGAUCCGCUCGCACGAAUCCAUCCUUAACAGGAACAGAUUUCCGAAAACUACAGAACGGCAGAGAAGUAAACAACGAUGUCCAACAAUUUAUUUGAUUGCUUCCUCUUAUGCUCUGAGAUAUCUUAUUCUCAGUUCUUUGGGAAAGAGUGGAAGCUUUGAGCUGAAGACUUCUUCUUGAAACAGCAUGUGUCUGCGCACCACUUGCCUACUGUACCAGCCAGUCCUGCAUUCACCCUCAAUCUGUCAUCUCGUCUCAGCCUUUGGGAGGAGUACGAACUGCCUGACAGAUGGGGGGAGCAUUGGAGUCUCAGUCGCCGUCACUUCGCUCGAUACGGCUCUGAUCUGGCACCCCUGCAGUUGAGUGAACAGCAGACACAUAUAAAUCUGUACGCUUUAAAGCUAGCUUUCAUCAGGAAAUGGCACUGUCGCUCCACCAUACAGUACAUAGAUAUACACCCAAUGAUUAUAAACUAAAGACAGAAAUUAUGCAUUGAGGUGCGCUACUAUUACCAUUUUAUUUUAUUUUAAAUUUUUUUGCAAACAAACCCAAAAAUUUAAAUCAACGUGUGUUCUUGAAACCAAAUUUCAUUCCAAAAGUUAUUCAUUUUAGCUAUUCAACCAUAUGAGGUAUCCAACUGUUGCCAAAUUAGCAUAUGCCUUUCCAACGUUAUGUCAGUAUUAGUGAAUUUUUGAUUAUAAAUAAACCUACAUUUCAUUCGGUACUGACAUGUAUUGAUAAAGUUACUGAAAAUUAUUAUACCAAAUAUUGUUGUACAAUGCAUUUUAUGCUUAUUAAGAGUAUUGUGCUUUUAGCUUAACAGCAUGCUAAUAUCGAAACAUCAUUUAUUUUUGACACCUAAAGUAGUUAUUUAUUUAGAGAGGCCCAAAAUCUCUGUCUUAUGAUAGCUUUGCAUAGUAAGAGAUAUAUAACAUGCAAAUUGCACAUGGGAUAAAGUAAAUGAAUCACACACGCACAAAAAUAUAUAUAUUUUUUUUCAAUUUAUUACCUAAAAAAAGAAAAUGUCCUAUCACAAGUCACACUGAAAUGUAUUGCUUAAGAAAAAAAUAUAUUUAGAUAUUUUCCUUUUUUUUUUAACUUGAUUAUUUCCAUUAUAUUCCACAUAAACAAAACAGGGCACAGCAAGGCCCUUUUUCUGCCUUCCGCCCACUUAAAAAAAAAAAGCACAAAGAAAUACAUAAUUCACAGUUACCAUUUUGGUUUCAUAAAUUAAUACA